CACAUGUUUUCAGUAAGUAGCUGACUCUGUGUCUGUUGCAGCUGACGUCCACCACUGACGGCCGUGUCGUUAGUUUGCCGAGUGAGUCUCCAACACCUAAGUCAGCCGUGUAGGAAGAAGCUUUGACCGACCUAGGACCUUGGAUUUUUACCCCCACUCUGGUUCAUCUCACCUGGGGUGCCCUCACCUCCAGUGGCAUCCAUCCAGACACCAGCACUGACACUGGCUGUGCUCAGAUCUGCCUCAGCCCUGAAGAAACAACUGACAAAUAGAAGGGGGCCAUGCCCUGUUACAGCAGGUGCUCUCACUUUGUGGGUCCUUAUGUAACUGCGCAUUGUUAUUCAGGAUCGCCCAUUCUACAUUGUUUGAAGCUGCUGCGGUGUCUCCUAGUUAUUUGUUUCUGAUCUGAGAAGCAGGAGCAAGGAAUUCAGGGAGAGAUCCAGGAAGACAUCUGACUCUGUUAAGAGACGACAUUCACAGCGACAAGGGGAGCGAAGACACUUGCAGCAAAGCAAAAUGAAUUCACAACGAUUGCAUCAGAGCUGCAGGUGUGAGAGAGCCUAAGCCUGUCUCAGAGUGCAGGGGACAAGUGGAAAGGAAUGUGUAAGAAUGCCGGUGACUCAGUUAGAAGCAUGCUUCGAAGCUGUCCGUGUACUUGCCACCCAGAAGCAGAGCCUGGGGGCUACAGAAUUUCUCCAGAAUGCAGUUUACAUUCACCUUGACAAAUAAGGAGACUGAGGAUUAAGUCUUCUCUCUUUUUGGGGGAGCUCAUUAUCAAUGACUGGAAGUUGUAAGAAAAAAAGAUAUUGAUUCAUCCUGAGAAAACAUUUUUCUGAGAGUCAGCAUUGAAGAAGGUGACCACUGAAGAGGGUGAUCAUUGUUCGAGUGAGACGAGCCCCGUGUGGUACGGAGUCAGCAUCCCAGUCCUGGACACGGCACUGUGCUGCAUGGUGGGUGAGGCGGCGUGGCCGCGCAGGGAACGAGGAUGCCGGGCCGUUGGGCUGUGCUCAGGCCUGGUGAGGCUUUCUCUGAAGAGCAGUGGACCGUCAUUGACAGAUUUUAAGUAGGGGAGUGGGGUGCUCUCGUAGAUCACAUUUGUGUUUGUAGAAUGCUUGCAAACAUUCAGUAGGCUCGGCAGAAAGUGAUGUGACGAAUCAGAGUAGGGUGGCUGCGAGGUGUAGCAGUGUUCAGUUUUCAAGUGGUUUUCAGUCCCAGGUUUGUGGCUCAGUAGCCGUGUCACUUUGGAUGAUGCACUCAAGGAAGUGAAACAAUUUAUCUAAUCAAUUAAAGCAGUGAUGUACCGACUUCCCAAGACUGCUGUGGCAAUCCAGUGAGAUUACGUGUGCGCAGUGUGCAGCGUGGUCCCCAGCACAGAGACAGUGCUGAGUGAGUGCCAUUGAGUACC